AGAGGGGAGGUGGACAAAAAUAGAAGAAACCAGAAAUGUCAAUAGAGAAAUCAAAGCAGAGAGGGGAGUUCAAGCAUGCCAGAGACUCAGGCGGCAGGAGAGGAGCAAAAGGUUAAUGAGGCUCAGUGCAGCGGGAUUACUGCGUGAACGGGCUGCAGCGGGCGAGCCAGCCGUGGUGACAGGGAACUAAUUAGGAGCAGUUUAACAGGAGGAAAAAGUGAAAUCUCCUCUUCACCAACUGUCAAUGAUUAGCUGAUUUGGUGAGGCUGAAAUGCAUCCACAGGAAAAGGUGGGCUUUUCUAUAGAUAAGUGAGGCUUGGGGGGACCUUUGGGGUAACGGGGCUCUGCCCUGUCCUUAGGUGGGGUCAGAGUGGAGGCUGCCUGUGUCUCCCAGGCCUGCCAUCCUCCUCUCUGGCUGCCAGAAUCCCUCGCUUCACAGCCUUGGUCUUAACCCUGAAGACCUCAGCUUCCCGUCAUGAAAAAAAGGUGUUGAACUUCAGUUUCUUCUGGUUUGGCCCAUCCAGGCACUGGUGAGUGGAGCCAGAGACCAGGCCUGGCUCUAGACUCUGGAGCUAAGCAUGACCUUUGGUCCAGUGCUGACCUCAGGGCCUUGUCUGUGGCAUAGAACAUCCCUGGAGAGUCACCUCUGUGAUGAGACUCCAGAUACCCGCAUGUGGGUUACUAAAUGACUAAUGGGCAGUCUCACCUUGCUCAGGAGUUACCUCCUGUCCCUCCCUCACCCCAGCAGUGGGCAGGGUCACAGGACAGAGGCAGGAGGGGGAGGGACCCUGGCAGCAUCUUGAGGACACCCCCCACCCUGCUUCCCCACCAGCUCUGAAGUCAGGUUCAUCACAGGAAAGGUCGUUUCCUGUUUGGCCAGUUUGCUGUCUGCCUGCCCUGCUGUUGUGGUGUGCUGGCCUCUGCCCUUUGACCUCCCUGCCUCCUCCCUCCUUCUAUCCUUCCAGAUUCUACCUGACUAAAAGAAAAGCAAUCACAGGGCCAGCCCCCCAUCCUCCUCCUGGACCCUUCCCCUCAGCCUAGCCUCAACACACCAAGGCACUAAGGCACUAACUGGAAUUUCUGGGCUAGGGGUGAAGGUCCUGCUCAGGUCCUGGCACCAUUUACAGGCCUGAGGGGUCCUACAGUAUUGUAAAGAGAUAGUCCAGCUGAGUCUCUUCCUUCCUCACUCCUAUCUCCUCUCCCUUUAUGUUCCCCCUUCCCACCUGCAGAAACAAAGAUGCACCCUUUUCCUGCAUGGAAAAUUAGGUAGAUACCCCAAUGGAUCUCUCUCCAUUAUUCUCCCUGAGGAUGAGAGCUAUGAUUCCCCCAGGAGCAAGUGACUUUCCCAGACUUCUCCAAGAAUCAAGUUAUUCUAAAAACAGCCCCUUGUCCAGAAGUACUCACUUAACAGUCCUACUGGGAUGUUUGCUCUCACCUGUGUGUACGGGGUGACCUGUGCUUCCAGUGAUCCCAUUUUUCUCAUCUGAAUGACUGUGCUUUCUUCCUCCCUAAGGCUGAGAAUAAACUCUAUAUGGAUUUUAGCUCACCCAGAUUCCCUGGACUUUUACUCCUGUUUCUCCCAUUCUUCCUGGAGGGAUAUGGGUCCAAAGGUCAAGUCAGAGGGUGG